GACGAACGCUGGCGGCGUGCCUAAUACAUGCAAGUAGAACGCAGUAGCGAACGGGUGAGUACCGCGUAGGUAUCUCCCUCAUAACGGGGGAUAACUAUUGGAAACGACAGCUAAUACCGCAUACCGUGAGAUGGACUUGCGUUGUAUUAGCAAGUUGGUGAGGUAAAGGCUAAACAAGGCGACGAGACAUAGCCGACCUGUAUGGAUGAUCGGCCAAACUGGGGCUGAGACACGGCCCAAAAACCUUCGGUAGGGAGCAGUAAGGAAUCUUCGGAAAUGGGCGGAAAUCUGGCCGAGCAACGCCGCGUGAGUGAAGAAGGUUUUCGGAUCGUAAAGCUCUGUUAGUAGAGGAGCGGUAACAAACCAGAAAGGGACGGCUAACUACGUGCCAGCAGCCGCGGUAAUAC
rnacentral:rRNA from 1 species